UUUUUGAUGAUGAUACAGCCAGGACCCUGAUGGGAUGAUGAGUGGUGGGCUUAGCUGAUGUUGCCG
rnacentral:snoRNA from 1 species